UUUUCACUCUCUUUCAAAGUGCUGCCAUCGCCGCCUCUCCAAGUUCUCGAACAGACACUGCAGAUGCUAAAGACGAGCGCACCAAUCGACAGCACUCACCUCCUCCCAAGCACCACGAGAGCUUUUCAUGGCUCCCAGAAAAAAGGGGUUCUGAUGGAGAUGUAGAUGUGAAGAGUUGAACGUGUUCAGGACCACAGACAGCACUCGGUCUCCGCUGCACACUUCCUGCGAAAUACUGAAUUCCAGAUAAAAUCUGGCUCACUUGAGCACAAAGAAUAUUCCUCAAGAGUCCUUAAGAUGGCUAAAGCUUCUGGGAAAUGGAGUUGCUAUGGUUUGUUUUGUUUACCGAAAACAAACCACAUCGCAGCCUACAAAAACUCUCCAUCCAAACUCUCCAUCCAACCAUAUUGACGUUGCUGGAGUCAUCCAGUGGGUUGGCAAUGACUGAGUUGUGGAUAAGGAUGAAGAGGGGCAGGUGAGCGAGGAAGUCGAGCAGGUCGAGAGAGCGAAGGCUACGGAGUUCACGCCUGACCUCUUCCUCAUGCUCCUCACGGAUCCCCCCGGCCUUCAGCUCCACCAGCAGUUGUUCGGCACUGAUACGACCCUGUGGUGCCUCACUGCCCUCAGACUGGCCCUCCAGCAGGAACAGGAACAACUGCUGCAAAACGACAGCACAGGUAAGGUCGCUUUUUUUUACAUGAUGUCUUCCUGUGCAAGACCACUGUGUCAUUUGGAGUAGAUAUUUCACUGUUUUUGGAGCCAGACUUCCUUUUGUUGUUUUUACCAUACGGUAUGUGGUACAUAAACCUUCAGUUCACAGAGCUGAUGGAUGGGAAAGUAUUGAUUAAUUUCCUAUAACAGCAGAUCUGAGAAAUCACAGGUUUACUUUCACUCAUUCUUUUUACCAGUACACUGACUUUCCUGAAAUUUUCAAUCAGCAGAAAUAAAUGAAUGAUGUUCAGGCUGUGAAUCUGAUAUAAAAUGACUCUGUUGGCUUUCAGUGUGUUUUAGACAUGUUUUUCCCUCUGUUGGAGAACCUUACACAGAAUUUUACUGGUUGAAGAUCAAAUCUGAGCUGCUUUUUAGAUGAACAAGCACUUGGAGCAUCUCAGAGAGCAGAAAUGGGUUUGACUUCUACUGAACAUUUACUUUGAAGAUACAUAAAUCUCUGUGGACAAAAACAAACCUGGAGCUUUUCUAUGAAUAUAUCACCCCUAGUAUUCUUGAGAAAAGCAGAAACAAUCCUUCUGAAACAUUACAAAUUUUUAAAGUCCUGAGUGUCUACUUUCAUAUGAGCUUCAUAUUAACCUCCACUGUGGAGUGGAACAUGACAAAGACACUCAAUCAUCAACAUGGACACAACAAAAACAGGAGGAAAGCGUGAAGUUUUCUGUAAAAGAGCCAGGUUUUUUUUUUGUAUAUUUAUGGAAGAAGCCCCCGGUGUCAGUGGGGGGUUUCUUGUUAUUGUGAUUAGCUAGCUAUGGUGUUACUUGAGGUUCUAAUCAAAAAUAAAGAAACUUAACACCAUAAUAUACUUUAUAAAAUGUUACCUUUUGAUAAACAAAAAUGCGAGUGUGCGGUUAGUAAGAACGUGUCUGACGAGCAGCACAUAUGUAUGAUACAAGCAUUGUUGGUUUAGGUUUGAAAUAAUAUGAAUGAAUUUGUAUCUGAAGGGGCGGGGUUAGUGUCUAACGAUCUGUACACUAACCCCGCCCUGUAAUAUCCUAACUGAAACCUUCGUCAUUUACAAAUUGUUACGCCUUUCUAAAGUACGAACAAAAUAAUGCUGUUUCAUUAAAUACAGAAAUAAUUUUAUUCUAAAUGCAAUGUGUUUGUGUGUGUGUGUGUGUGUGUGUGUGUGAAAUAUUGACUACUUUCAGUAUUUAAAAUGUAUGUAAAAUUUGAAUGAAAGGAGAAGGAAAAGGAUGUGUUUAUGUGUUUAUCACUUAACGUAUUGGAGAAAGCUUGUGAGAAGAGGCUAAUGUGUUCUUUACCUGUUUGUGUGUGUGUGAGUGUGUGUGUGAGUGUGUGUCCCAUUCAGACGUGUGUCUGAAGAGGCUCGAGUUACAGCAGCUUGUUCUGGCUCUUCUGUAAGUGCACCUGUUUGCACAGUUAAAUGGAUCCAAGGUAAUGACUAAGGCUGUGUGUGUGUGUGUGUGUGUGUGUUUCUUAUAAUCCCCUGGCAAUAUGCCCGCUCCCCUCUCCACUCCUCCCAAUAACAAUUCCACCUCAUGCUUGCUCUGUAAUUAGCCGGCCCUUUCUCCGCUAACCCUAAGAACUGGCAGCGGGGCUCAACUUCCCUCAGCGGCCCCUUUUUAGCCACCGGCUUUCAAAGUCUCCUCUCCUUUUCCACGUCCUCUGUGUUCAGCGUGUCUGACCGGCCCUUGCUCUUCAAUGGCCACCCUAUAUGCCUCAUCUGAGGUGAGCAGGGUGUCUUUACUUGAUUACAGAGCGCGUUGCACUGGCCGUACACCGCCGGCUACUUUAAUGAGAUUACCGCUUGUAAUCUGUGAAUAAAGGAGAGAAGAGGAGGAGAGGAAGCGAGGAAGGGAGAGACGAAAACCUUGCUUCUAACUCUUCUCAAUUCUCGCUCGUGCACAGCUAGUUUUACACGCCGAAUCGCUCUUCAAAGCAUUUAGCGGUCUUUAUUUCACUAUAAUUAGCCCCCCAGUCGUCCCACCCCGAGCCAAGAGAGAGAGAGAGAGAGAGAGAGAGAGAUUUGAACAUAUAAAUGAGGAAAGAGAGAGAUGCUUAUGGAAUGUAAUUAGUAAGAAACAUGAAAAGUGUACCUUCGCUUUGUACAGCUUCAUCUCCAAAGACUUGAAGUCCAGCUUGCUAAUGAGAGACCGCAUGAAAUCACUGUGUAAAAAACAAAAUCAGUCAGCUUUUCACUCUCGCUCACGCCAUAAAUCACUCUCUCUCCAUUUUUCUUUCACUGAUAAGCACAAUAAAUGUAAUCUUUGGUCAUGACUUGAGAUUAGCAUUAACCUGCUAGAAUGCUAUUCUACAUGCUAUUACUCUAAGCUCACUUUAAAUCGAUGAUGUCAGCAGAACGGAGGAAUUUUCUUACGUUAGAUCUUGAAUGUAAAAUCUGUCAUGGAGUUUGUAAGGUAACGGUUUUUCCUGGGAUCUGUGAUGAGUAAUAAUAUUAUAAUAUAAUAAUGAAUAAAAUCAACAUCAAGCAUGUUAUUAGUCAUGAGGCCUUCAGUCCAUUUAACCCUUUUACCAGCAUACUGGCUUAAAGGACUAAUGGGACGUUUUCAUUCAGUGUAAAUAAAUGAGUGAUGUUCAGGCUGUGAGUCUGAUCUAAAAUGAGUCUGUUGUCUUUCAGUGUGUUUUAGACGUGUGUUUUUCCCUCUGUUGGAGAAUCUUACAUAGAAUUUUACUGGUUGAAGAUCAAAUCUGAGUUGCUUUUUAGAUGAACAAACACUCGGAGCAUCUCAGAGAGCAGAAAUGGGUUCGAGAUCAACAUUUACUUUGAAGACAUUUCUGGAUCUACUUUUAUAUGAGCUUCAUAUUGACCACCACUGUGGAGUGGAACAUGACAAAGAUAGUCAUCAACAUGGACACAACAAAAACAGGAGAACAUUUUUGGCUUCUGAAUAAAACAGCAUGAUUUAUAAUCUAGUUUUGGGUCACAGAAAAAUUAAAGGAUUCUUUUAGUCAUAAAUAACGCUCACUGAAGACACGUGGGAAAUCAUCAAUAGGAAGAAGGUAUAUAGAUGAUGCCAUCAGUUACGUGAGCAUAACGUAUCGUACACUGCUGAUCGCAGGUAGAUUAGAUAAGAUAGAUAAAAAGGCAGUCUGCUACAGAAAUCAGCCGAGAUUUUAACAUCAUAUCAUAUAGUGUGAUAAGUAAUAAUGAUAAAAGACGACAGAUCACAAAGCUUAAAACCAGCAUAGGAGAGAUCGCAAAAAUCACACCAAGGACAAGAUCCAGUCGUUUUCAGGCACUUCAUUUUACAUCGUAUGAUUUUCAGGAAAAAAAAAACCCAACCAACCAGAAAAAAAAGAACAUUACCUUUAAAAUGUUUACACAGCACUAUUCCCAUUUAUUUAUUUAUUUAUUUAUGUAUUUAUGUAUUUAUUUAUUUAUUUAUUAGUUUGUUUUGUUUGUUUGUUUGUUUUCAAGUACAUUUAUAUAACAGUAAUGACACAUAUACAAUGUUUUUAAUAUUUGUUUGUUUGUUUAUUUAUUUAUUUUUUAAUUUUUUUAUUUGUUUGUUUGUUUGUUUGUUUGUUUGUUUUGUUUGUUUGUUUUCAAGUACAUUUAUAUAACAGUAAUGACACAUACAAUGUUUUUAAUAUUUGUUUAUUUAUUUAUUUAUUUAUUUAUUUAAAUUUAUUAAUAGAAUUUAUUAACUAGUUAACCCUUCAGUACUUGUCAGACAUUAAAAAUAAUAAUAAAUACAUAAAUGAUUACAUUAAAAAAAAUCUCAGUAAUGAGGUGAGAUCGGUUUUGUGAGAAUUUUUUCAGAUGAAAACCUCACAAAUCUAUGAGUGUAUAAUUCAUCUAACAUCCACCAGCAUGAGGACAGAAAACUCACAGAACAGCAAAAAUAUCGCUAUUAGCAACAGAGAAAUUUAAAACUGCAAGACAUGGCUGACGUUAGCAGAACUCAGCGAUCUUCUGUAGUCACAGGUCUUUGGCUAGAGGAUCUUCAUCAUAUACUCUGAGGUGUAGGAUGUAGAACAGCAUGAAAAGUCAUCACUGAUAAUUAAGAGAUUGCUGAGAUGGCACAGUGGGAAUACAAAAAAAUAGGGCUGAUUUUGGCGGGUAGUUUUUUGGUGAAGGGGUGUGUGUGUUGGGGGGUGAUGGUAAUGGGGGGGUGAUUGUGUAGAGCGGUUGCUGUUGACGGUAAAGUGUUCUGAGCCCAUUGUGGUUGCUCAUCGCCGCCUGUCCCCUAAACAAAGAUCUGGGACACAAGGCCAGCCCACCAUGAUAACGAUAAAAACUGCCCCAGUGCACGGCGUAGGGUGGACGUAGAGGGGACGAGGGGGGGUGGUUGGUGUAUGUGUGAGUGCUGUAGUGUGACUGACCGAAACACGCACACACAAGAUAAUUACCCCGAGACAUAAGCCAUUCAUUUUGGGACAGAGCGCUGCUGUCCAGCGUGUGGCAUGGCGACGGUCGGCCCCAGUUUUUUUUUUAACAAGAGCAUGCUGGGAGGAGAAUUGCUUCUGUCGAGGUGGAGGGAGUGUAUGUGUGUGUGUGUGUGUGUGUGUGUGGCUGGGGGGAGCUUUUUUGACGAGAACGAGGACGGACAGGCCAGCUAAUGAUCAUUAAUUGCUGUGCAGUGUGGAUAUGUCCGUGUGUGUGUCUGUGUGUGUCCCUCCAGCCCCUGCACACACACAGAGGGGGAUAAUGGUAGCUCUAACCCACUUCUAUUGUUGAGGUGCCCGCUGCUGCCAACCUCAGGAGACCUCACGCUUACGUAAUGGGCCACAUUUUGGCGGACUCUUGUGUCUUUUUUGUUUCAUUAGGGGGUUACAUCAGAGGCGGGAAGUGUGUGUGUGUGUGUGUGUGUGGGAAUGGAGAAUGUGGCGGUAAUAAUGACCCAGUUAAUGUUUUGUAGCAAAAGAAUGAGAAUAGAGUGAGUUGAAUUCAGUGAGCAAGUCUUUUGGCAGGUGUGUGUGACAAUUUAUUUCUGUCGAAGCCAAAAAAAAAAAGAGAGAGUGUCUGAAACUUAACGCACAAAUACAUAUUUACACUCUUUAGAUCUGCCAUGAUGAGACCUAUGGCAAUCAACUGACCAAGAAAGAAAUCCUUAGGAUCUAUUUGAAAAGACUUUGUUCACAAGAUUGGCUGGCAGUAUUUCGUUAUCAAUGGCAAUUUCUUAGCACAGCAUUUAUUGUGGUGUUCCUCAAGGCUCAGCAUCAGAGCCGCUUUCAUUCUCUCUCUUUGUGAUUGUAAAGAAGAGAUUUAGAAUGUGAAUCAGAAUCAUAGUCAUUAGAGUCAAAAUAUAGAAUCUGAAUCAGAAAUUGAAUCAGAAUCAGAAAUGUAUUUGUGAAAAAGAGAAUCAGAAUCAGAAAGUGAAUCAGAAUCAGAAAUAUGUUUGUGAAAAAGAGAACCAGAAUCAGAAAGUGAAUCAGAAUCAAGUGUGUAUGUAAACGGAAUUAGAAUCAGAACGCGAAUCCGAAGCAGAAUCGUGUGUUGGUGAAAAAGAGCAUCGGAAUGUGAAUCAUAAUGGUGUGUGUUCGUGAAAGCCAGAAUUAGAAUCAGAAUUACAAUCCUGGUUUUGUGAAAAAGAGAAUUUAGAAUGUGAAUCAGAACUGUGUAUGUUUGAGAACAUUAGAGUCAGAAUCAGACAGUGAAUCAUAAUCAGAAGUAUGUUUGAAAAAAGAGAAUCAGAAUCGUGUGCUUGUAGAAUUAGGAUCAGAAUCAAAAAUAUGUUUGUGAAAAAGAGAAUGUGAAUCAGAAGGUGAAUCAGAAUCAUGUGUGUCUGUAAACAGAAUCAGAAUCAGAACCAGAAUAGUGUGUUGGUGAAAAAGAGCAUUGGAAUGUGAAUCAUAAUGCUCGGGAAAGCUGGAAUUAGAAUCAGAAUCAGAAUUACAAUCUCACUGUGAAUCAAUUCAGUCAGAAACACUUAAUCGUCCAGGAAUUUAAAGCAGAACGGGAGAAAAGUUCUAGAGUAACUUCAUUUACCUUCAAAAUGUUUACAAAGCGUUAUUCCCAUACACAUUUAUUUAUCCAUUUACAUCUGCAAAUUAAAUCUUUUUAAUAUCCUCAAACACAGCUGUAUCACAGUAACAAAGUGUUUUUUUAAUUUUUUUAAAUUUAUUUAUUAAUAUUAAUUAACGAGCGAAAGUCAGCACUUGGCCUGAGGUCAAAUCAAUAUCCGGGUUCAGCGGAGGUUUAUAAAAAGAGGUUACACAAUGUAACUGUCACUAUUGUAGCCUUUCAUAGAAACACACUUGUCUCUUUUCAUUUGUUUAAUGGCUGCUCCUCCAGCAUGGUCAAAGAGCUAAGCUCACAAAGCACGCAGUGCACUAAAUUAGCAAGGAGGCACGACCCCAGAACAGACACACACACACACAUACUCAUAUACACAUAUAAACAGUAUACAGUGCAGAAAUGCAUACUGUACACACUCACACACUUGCUUGAAGGCCACAAUAGCUAUGACUGCAUGUAUACUGUAUACACACACACACACACACACACAAACACACACACACACACACACAUGACCCGUAAGACCCAGAAGCAGUUAAGGGCCCAUAAAACACUAUGACUAAAGGAAGAGUCUGUGUGUGGGAAUCUCUGGCAUAUGGGCUGUAAUCCAGACUCGCUGCACAAUCUCAUCACUCUAAUGCACUUCACGUUACAGAGCUGACCGCCCAGCACGGUCUGGGUCAACUGCCCAGGGUCACACACACACACACACAAACCCACACUUUUAUACACUUCUGUAUACUGUUGUGGAGUUUUGUUUGUGUAUGUUGUUGUGUAGUUUUGUUUGUGUAUGUUGUUGUGUAGUUUUGUUUGUGUAUGUUGUUGUGUAGUUUUGUUUGUGUAUGUUGUUGUGUAGUUUUGUUUGUGUAUGUUGUUGUGUAGUUUUGUUUGUGUAUGUUGUUGUGUAGUUUUGUUGUGUAGUUUUGUUUGUGUAUGUUGUUGUGUAGUUUUGUUGUGUAGUUUUGUUUGUGUAUGUUGUGCUUCUUACUAGACCCCUAAAUGCAGAUGCACCAGAUGAAGUAACCAACAGCAUAGGCAAUAUUUUUACCAGCACACUAGACACUGUUACCCCAUUCGACUAAAAAAGGUCAGAGAUAAAACACUUGCACCAUGCUACAAUAGUCAUACACACGCCCUCAAGAGAGCAACCCAUAACCUCGAGCAAAAGUGGAGAAAAACCAAAUUAGAAGUUUUUAGAAUUGCGUAUAAAGACAGUCUGUCCAACUAUAGACAGGCUCUAAAAGCUGCUAGGGCUGAGCAUCUGAGCAAUCUGAUAGAAAUAAACCAGAACAAUCCCAGUUUCUUAUUUAGUAUAGUGGCUAUCAGAUAUAGAUAUAGAAGUAUAGAAGCAUCAGAUUUCUGGAGAGAGUAUUUCAGCACAGUUUAGUAGUGAGGACUUUAUGAAUUUCUUCACUAAAAAAUUGUUAGUAUCAGGAACAAAAUAUUGGAUGUUCAACCAUUGACGGCAUCUGGUGAUCCAGACCAGCCUAUAGCUCCACACUUAAAGCUACAAUGCUUUACCAGCAUAAGACAGGAAGAGCUAGCUAAACUUAGCCCCACGGCUAAAUCAAAAAUGUGUUUGCUAGAUCCAAUUCCAACUAGAUUGCUGAAAGAAGUGAUACAUGCAGCUGGAGAGCCUCUUCUUAAUAUUAUUAACUCUUCGUUAUAUCUAGGUCAUGUCCCAAAAUCUCUUAAGUUAGCCGUUAUUAAGCCUCUUCUUAAGAAACCAAAGCUAGACCCCGAUGAAAUAUCAAAUUACAGACCGAUUUCAAACCUUCCGUUUAUAUCUAAAAUAUUAGAAAAGGUGGUGUCAGCUCAAUUAUGCUCCUUCCUACAGGAAAACAAUAUCCUUGAAGAAUUUCAGUUGGGUUUUAGGCCCCAUCAUAGUACAAAAACUGCACUAGUUAAAAUCACUAAUGACUUGUUUUUAGCUUCGGACCAAGGCUGCAUCUCCAUUUUAGUCCUGCUUGAUCUUAGUGCUGCAUUCGACACUAUAGAUCAUAAUAUUCUCAUAGAUCGCUUACAAAAUCACACAGGUAUGCAGGGACAGGCAUUAAAAUGGUUUAGAUCCUACCUGUCUGAUCGAUACCACUUUGUAGAUUUAAAUGGAGAACUGUCCAGUGUAGUGCCAGUGAAAUACGGGGUCAGUUUUAGGACCUCUGCUUUUCUCAGUAUACAUGCUUCCAUUGGGUAACAUCAUUAGAAGGCAUGGGAUUAGUUUCCAUUGCUAUGCCAAUGAUACCCAGUUAUAUAUUUCAUCAAAACCAGAUGAAAUAUCUAAUUUGUCUAGACUAAGUGAAUGUGUUAAAGAUAUUAGAAUUUGGAUGACCGAUAAUUUCCUAUUAUUAAAUUCUGAUAAGAGAUAUUACUUACUGGCCCAAAAACCAGUACACAGAAGCUCUCACAUUUCAGCUUGCAUCUAGAAGGAUGCACUGUUGGAGUGCAUCCUUCUAGACCCUCAUCCUACUAGCUCAACAGUGAAAGACCUGGGCGUAAUAUUAGACAGCAUUAUCCUUUGAAAAUCAUAUAUCCAAUAUCACAAAACAGGCUUCUUCCAUCUUAGAAAUAUUGCCAAGCUUAGGAACAUUUUAUCUGUAUCUGAUGCAGAAAAACUAGUUCAUGCAUUCAUGACCUCCAGACUGGACUACUGUAAUGCAUUACUAGGUGGUUGUCCUGCAUCUUCAAUAAACAAGCUACAGUUAGUCCAGAAUGCAGCCGCCAGAGUUCUUACCAGAUCAAGAAAAUAUGAUCAUAUAACCCCAAUAUUAUCAUCCCUGCACUGGCUACCUGUUAAGUUUAGAAUUGACUAUAAAUUAGCUCUACUUACGUACAAGGCUCUAAUUGGUUUAGCUCCCACCUAUCUCUCCAGUCUUCUAACACGUUACAAUCCACCACGCUCUUUAAGAUCGCAAAAUUCCGGACUUCUAGUAGCUCCCAGAAUAUCAAAGUCCACAAAAGGGGGUAGACGUUUUCAUAUUUAGCUCCAAAACAUUGGAAUAGUCUUCCUGACAGUGUUCGGGGCUCAGAUACAGUCUCCCAGUUUAAAUGUAGACUAAAGACUUAUCUCUUCAGCCUGGCAUACAUUUAACACAUCCCAUAACCUUGUGCUCCAGUACAUCUGAUUAAAUGCACAUUAUCAUCUAGUACUGCUAAUAUUAUGAACAGCAGCUACGCUAAUGCUGUUCCAUUGUUUCCCUUCUUCUACCCAUCCCGAGGCAUACAGAGACACUGCCGGCUCCAGUGGCAUCCGGAGAUGGACCAGCUCCGGCCGGGUUCUGCUUGUGAGGAUUGCGAUAUUCAAGCAGCGUUGUGGACAACAACCUCCAUAUUGAUUUACAUAACACUAUACACAUGCUGUAUCUGCAUCACACAAUUGUCACCCAAAUGAGGAUGGGUUCCCUUUUGAGUCUGGUUCCUCUCAAGGUUUCUUCCUCAUACUAUCUAAGGGAGUUUUUCCUUGCCACAGUCGCCUCAGUCACCUCAGGCUUGCUCACUUGGGAUAACAUCUAGGACUGUCUGUCUGUUUGUCUGUUUAUAUGUUUGUUGUUUUCUUAUGUCGUUUCUCAAGCGCUAUACAAAAAUAAAUUGAAUUGAAUUGAAAUUGAA